GGCAUGGUUCGCAGGAGCCGACCUAACGUCAAAAAAAAAGAAAGUUAUUAGUACUAAUAAGGUUAGAAAAAGAAAAGGGGAGAGAGAAAACCUAGCUUAUAGAUCAAGAAGGAAAGAGAUAAUAAGAUAAAAGGCAAAAAUAUGAGCGGAGAGGGAUGAGAAAGAAAGAGGAUGUGCGUCGGCAGGGGAUGCUCACCAUAGGCGGAAGCAGCAGGACGACAACACCGUUGCUCGACUCACGUGGUGGAUGGAUAUAGGCGCAGGCGGCGGGCGACUCUCGCGAGGAGAUUGAGACCGACGCUACGGGAGAUUGACUUGGGUGCAAGGAAUCAGGCGAGAGUAUGCGGCGGAAGCGGCAAAACGCCCGCACCGCUGCUUUACUUGCGAUGAUGGAGAUCGGCGCGACGGCAGUGGCAGGCGACGGACGAAGGGGGUCUGGUGCCCGACCGACCGACGGAUGUGGUGAGUCGAGGGAGGCCAAGGCCGUAAGCGGUAUGCACGUGUUUGGUGCGGCCAAUAUUAAUUCCUCGGGUAAGUAGGCCGACCGCGAGGCAGAUUAUGGGCCCAGCUGGAGAGCAGCUCCGAUUAGGACUGUAAAAAAAAAAAAAGCUCGGCUCACAAACUGCUCAAGCUCGGCUUCAAGUUUGGACUCGAAUUGUAAGAGCAAGUUUAAUACUCCCUCCGUUCCUUUUUGAGAUGUCACACGCACACAUAAUAAGGUUAUACUCUUAAUCUAAGAAAAUGACAAAAAUACCCCUGGCUAGAUUAUUCCGGAAUGGAGGAAACGCACUGGCUUCAGAGAGUUCUCUGGGUUUUGUAGUACAUGAGAAAACCCUCUGGUUAGGCCCACAAGGGGUAAGUGCACAAGGAUACCAAAGGAUAGCAUAAUAUAGGCUCAUUUGCAAAAGCAGCAUUUAGCAAACAUUUAGGAGUAGUAAAACAGUAGAGUAAUUAAUCAUCAAUUUUAAUCAACACUGAACAGCACACCCAUACUGCUCAGGCCCAACCAUCCUGAACAACCAUACACGGCUGUACAGAUCUAACUCCAAACCAGGAGCUAAGCAAAUUAUUACCAGUUAUAGCAUCAAUAAUUAUUGUGAGAGGUAUGAGACUAAUCACGAAAAACAUUGCUCAACCUGCCCAUGACCGCGGGCACGGCUAUUCGAAUAGUUUUACUCUGGCCAGAUGUGUACCACUGUACCCACAAGACACAGCCUCAACAUCAUGUCUACCAUGCGUCGCGAUACUGGAAAGUACCCGAAUAGAGGCUGUGACAAUACCCUCUGCACAACACAAAUCACCACAGUGCACCGUUCCUGGAUCAUAAUCACCCCCUCAAUAUCUAGAGGCAUGGACUCCCCAACGACCCCCACGGACUUCUCGCCACUUCACAGUUUGGCGCCCCGCAAUAAACCAUGCUAUACAGAAGAUAAAGCCGUUGCCCACGCUGGCUUGUGGUUGGCACGAUUAAUGUCUCACAACAGUAGCUCGCGAACCGGUCCUUAAUUGUCAUGAGCACGACCUUCAAAACCAUAUGCUCACAACCCACCAUUGUCAAGUUUUAGUUGGCAAGUAAUUAAUUAACCAAUCACGAUUGACCAGCGUGAGCUAUUAUUAAAUAUAAUCAGAAGUGAUAGUGUAACAUUAGUUAUCCCAAUCAUGUGCUAAUGUUUGUAAGCAAAGCUAAGCAAUUAUACUAAUAUAUAUCUAGUUGAACCAAUAUAUAAAGUCCAACUAGUCAAAUUAUAACCUAAGGUAUCAAAGAAUAGGGUAAUCAAUGCAAAUUGGCCAUAACAAAGAAAGGUUCACACCACCCAGUGAUAUUCGAAAAUAAAUGCACAGUUGAAAUAAAUAGAGAAUUUAAAUAUAGGAUCAACAUGCUCAAAGGAUUGUGUUUAGGGUCUGUGUGACUUGCCUUGCAAUAAUCGGUCUUCAAUUAGUCUUCUUGAACACUUCCGACGCACUCACGAACCUUCGAAACAAUGGAAACGACAAGCUAACACGCACAACGGAGAAAAAGACUAAUAAAAACCAAAUAAACAGUACAUAAAAAGUAAACAAAUAUUUAGAUCUUGAUUUUAGAUGAAUUUAGAGACUUGAACAGCCUCAUUCUGACAUCAUAUGAAUUAGUUAUGAAUUUUAAAAGAUUUAAUUCAAUUAAACCUAUUCAAAUAAAUUAAAUAAAUUUAUAACACAAUUUAUAUAUAAUUUUAAUAUAUAGGUCUUUAUUUUAUACAAUUUUUAUAACUUGAAUCACAUUAAUCCGACUUACCAUGAAUUAGAUAUGAAUUUUCUAAGAUUAAUCUGAUUUUAGCCUUAAACCUUAAAGGAUUUGCGAUUUAUUUUAGAAAAGAAAAAAAAAGGCUUUAUGACAUCAUCGAUGACGUCAUCACCGGCGGCUCAGGCUCCUUUGGUCGCCGGCGAACUAGGGCACGGCGGCGCGAACAGAGGGCACCAACGCGACGAGCACGACGCGGGGAACUCACAAGGGGCGGCGCGACCACGGACGACGAUGGGAAACGGCCGGCGACGAGGUCGGGUCAGCGGCGGGCUUCGGCUUGACGGCGUCGGCGGUGCUCCGGUGGGCUUCGGCGGAAACGGAGGGGUGGACGGGGUGCGGCUCCUCCUUGCGAACCCGGUGAUAGCGACGGCGACCGGCGGCGACCACCACGGCGACGGCGCGAGGCGGCUGAAGCGGCUACGGAGCUAGGUUUGCGCGGCGACGGCGCUAUAGGAGGCGGCUGCGGCUAAAACUCGGGCCAAACGGAAAAGCACGACUAGGGGAUGCUAUUUAUAGGCUUGGAUUAAGGAGAUCGAACUCGGAACGAGAGGAAUCGAAGCGGAAAAUCCUAUGUUUUAGUUGGAGAGAUAAACUCUAAACGAGUUUGAUUCUUAUAAAAUACAAGGAAUUGGUUUCCGAUUCUCGGGGGAAACGAAAGAGGGAGAUAAGGGAAAUAUUUCCCCUCAACUAAUUUUAAGAAUACACUAGAGAGAAGGCCGGAUUUGGAGGAGAAAAACCGAGCCAACUCGGUCUCGGUUCGGCUGUCCUGAGGUUGAAGACGAACAGUAACGAG
rnacentral:lncRNA from 1 species